GUCGCUCUCCCUUCUGUUCUCGCGAGAUUUGGAUUUUCUUCCCCUUAGCCGGCCUAGGUGGAUCCAUCCUGUCACUGUACCUGGCGAUGGCCGAUCCCAAGUAUGCAGACCUGCCCGGCAUUGCCAGGAAUGAGCCUGAUGUAUAUGAAACAAGUGAUCUCCCUGAAGAUGAUCAAGCGGAGUUUGAUGCGGUUAUAAAGUUAUAACAACCACCAC